rnacentral:lncRNA from 1 species
UCUUCUCCGGCAAUGUCUAAGACAAGCCCUUGUUUUGCUUCCCUUCCUGUGUUUCUUAUGCACCUUGUCUGCUGCUUGCACGCUCUCUUCCUCUCCUGCUUGCUCGCUCGAGCGCUAGCUCCUCAGUCCCGCCUCUCAUUUGUCUAGUACAGUGACUCCCGACCAUCUUGCCUCCUUGUCAUCUUGGGAACCAUUAACCAGGCGUUCCAUCAAAGCCGUUCCGACGGCUCACCAUCUUUACGUAAAGCAACUCCUGCCUGACACCCUUGGAACCACCCGCUCCUGUAAUGGCACAGUUACUUGAGAUAACUUGAGACAGUUACUAGCAACACCGGGAAGACAGUUACUCGACACACCGAUAAGACAGUUAUCCUGGACCCACUGGUGGUUCAGUCAUUAGGGUGUUAUGCCACAGGUUGAUUAAUAUGGUGUUUCAGGAUGUUAACUGUUUAUCUUUUUCCGUCUCUACUUCAGGACGAGCGCUGCAGAAUAUCAGAUCCAAGACUCGUUUACAAAGCUGGGUCGUGGCUUGGUUCAUGACGCCCCCAUGUUGAGACCCACGGCUGAUAGGUUCUGUUACUCAGCCCAUGACAAAGAGCACCGUCCUCUUCCUUAUUUCCGCUUCCGCUACUCCUACUGCCACUGCUGUUUACGUCCCUGCUGCACAUGCUGCUGCUGCUGCUGCUACUGCUGCUGAUACUUCUGCUGCUGUUGCUCCUCUAGAAGCCCCUGUCCCCGUCAUUCCACCGUCAGGAUAGACUCAAGUUUGCUAAGUAUCUUGUCUGAGUCAUCCUGUGGCCCUCAGCAACUACGGGCUCACCAUAGCCCGUGCUACUUGUACCUUAUUGUUCCAGGUAGCGAAUCUUUAACAACAACAAGUCUACUCGAUAGGAAUGUUCCUAUACAUACCUGUCACUCUGGGCAGACGGUGUGGUGAUGUCCCCCACACACCUGUCACUCUGGGCAGACGGUGUGGUGAUGUCCCCCACACACUGUUCACUCUGGGCAGACGGUGUGGUGAUGUCCCCCACACACCUGUCACUCUGGGCAGACGGUGUGGUGAUGUCCCCACACACACCUGUCACUCUGGGCAGACGGUGUGGUGAUGUCCCCACACACCUGUCACUAUAGGCAGACUAUGGUGUCAUACACACACACACACACACACACACACACACACACACACACACACACACACACACACACACACACACACACACACACACACACACACACACCUGUCACUGUGGACAGACAAUCUUUUUCGUCCGACUCCUCCAAACUGACUCUGACUGUCACAAACCUGUCUGUCACUGUCACGCGCUUGUCAUUGGUGGGAUGGUCCAGCGGGAGCAUCCUUCCUCUCCUGAAAUUUGUCCACCACCAAAAUUUCAACUCUUCCACCUAAUUCUGUCGAGAACUCGACACGAAAAUCAAAUAUUCCCUCUUAAUAUUAUUUCAGAAUAAUGUGUUGCUAACUUUAAUCAACAAACCUUAACAAACACUUCCAUUUGAAAAUAUCCAAAAUGUAUGUAAACAAGAAUCCCUAAAUUUACACUCCAUAUUUAUAGCGAUGUAAAUCAGGGUACUUUUUUUUUCAAUGCAAAUCCGAGUACUUUUUCAGCGCAAAUCUGAGAACUUUUUUUUUUUUCAGUGGAAUUCAGAGUACUUUUGUGUGAGAUUACUGUGCAAAAGGGUACCACACCAGCCAAUCAAAAGCAUCCUCUGUGGUACUGUUGGGGUGUUUAGCUUUGUUUAGCUUAGAAAGAUUUUUUCUCUCUCGUAUAAACUUCGUUUUUGUAACAUCUCUCUGUGCUCUUUAUCUUGAUCAACUGUACUGUUGCUUCCCUCUGUUGUAUUCUUGCCCACACCCUGCGUUGUAUUCUUGCCCUCAUCUCUUGUUUUAUUCUGGCUCUCACCCUUGCUCUAUUCUUACUAUUACUCUUGAUGUAUUCUUGCCCCCCCCCUCACCCGUGAUGUAUUCUUGCCCCCCUCACCCGUGAUGUAUUCUUGCCCCCCCUCCCCGUGAUGUAUUCUUGCCCCCCCUCGCCUGUGAUGUAUUCUUGCCCCCUCACCCUUGAUGUAUUCUUGCCCCCCCCCUCGCCUGUGAUGUAUUCUUGCCCCCUCACCCUUGAUGUAUUCUUGCCCCCCCUCACCCUUGAUGUAUUCUUGCCCCCCCUCGCCUGUGAUGUAUUCUUGCCCCCUCACCCUUGAUGUAUUCUUGCCCCCCUCACCCUGAUGUAUUCUUGCCCCCCCUCACCUGUGAUGUAUUCUUGCCCCCCCCUCGCCCUGUGAUGUAUUCUUGCCCCCCCUCACCUGUGAUGUAUUCUUGCCCCCUCACCCUUGAUGUAUUCUUGCCCCCCUCACCUGUGAUGUAUUCUUGCCCCCUCACCUGUGAUGUAUUCUUGCCCCCCCUCGCCUGUGAUGUAU